UACGUAGGGGGCAAGCGUUGUCCGGAAUUAUUGGGCGUAAAGAGCUCGUAGGCGGCCUGUUGCGUCCGCUGUGAAAGCCCGGGGCUUAACCCCGGGUCGCAGUGGAUACUGCCGGGCUAGAGUCCGGAAGAGGCGAGUGGAAUUCCUGGUGUAGCGGUGAAAUGCGCAGAUAUCAGGAAGAACACCAAUGGCGAAGGCAGCUCUCUGGGACGGUACUGACGCUGAGACGCGAAAGCGUGGGGAGCGAACAGG
rnacentral:rRNA from 1 species